AUAUCUUUCAUGUGAAAUUACUGUUGUAGAUUCAGACACUGACUGAGACUUCCUGAUAAAUAAUCUAUGCAUGCCCUAAAGCUUGGAAUGAAGGGCAUACUAAAACUCAUUCAUAAAUUUACUGAAUAAAAAAAAUCUAGAAGCUUCCUUUAAUGUAACUGCUUGUCUUACAACCCUGAUGCGUCAUCAUGUAAGUAUACAUUUCUUUUAUAAGCUGCACAGAGUAGGAAGAUCCUUCAUUGAGUGCUUCAUGAAUCUUUGAAUCACAUUAUUGAAGCUGAUGCAGACUUGAUCAUCAGUCAAACUUCAUGGCAUUAGGUAUUGUCCGGAUAUGUUUAGAUGAAAUUAGUUAUUACUUUGCAGGAUGGCUACAGUCAUCCUGAUUUCAUCGUAGUACAAUAAAUACAGUAUAAAUCACCUUGCCUGGCACUUCAAGUAGUUUAAAUAACCAGCAUUUGUUAUAAUCUUAUCCUUCCCUUUCCUCUUUUCAGAUGAUGAUGGUCAACAAGGGCAUGAAGAUGGCUAACCUUAAUCUGCUACUAACAAGGGCCACUGGCUUCUAAACAGGACUAAUAAGGGAAGCACUGAUGAGAAAGGGUGCAUUAGUUCCUUAACAAUAUCAUAAUGGAUUGCUUGAGACACUAACUGCAUGCUUCCCCAAGUUGGGGGAGACAAGAUGCUGAGAUUUCGCAUGGCAGAAGAGCUUAAAGGAACCCCUGAGACUUCUUGAGAAGAGGAGGAAAUAGAAUCAAUGGAUAAAAAGUGAAAACAAGUCGAUGUACGGCAAAACUGAUCAGUAGGUCUGGAGUCAUGGGGGUCUUUUCAUCUAUUCACUUCAUGACGCACACAAGAAUCUAGUCUAUUCAAGAAAACAAAUCUUUUCUGUGACAUUCUGCCUGAAAUCUGAACCUCGACCCCAAAAAUAUGAGGCGCACAUUCUAGUGUCGUCAAAAACUACACUGUAGCUUAAGGCCUGUGGACUCUUUGUUGGUGUCCUGCACCCUUUCACUUUCUAAUACUGUAGUAGGAUACAAUCCCCCAGCUUAUAAUCCCCUAAAACUCACAGUCAAAAAGGAGCAAUUGCAAUGAACUGGAUAUAAACCAAUCUGAAAUUAUCAAUGAUAUUCUGCUUCUUCAUUUUCUCACUUUUCUCAUCUUUGAAACUAUAAUAUUUCCAGCACAUCACUACCCCCCAUCGAGGUUUGAAGUUCUUAGUUAUAACUAGCAUGAUUUGGAUUGAUAAAUUCCUGGAGUAAAUAUUUCUUUGUAAAUUCAAAGAUAUAAAUUUAUAUUCAAAUCAUGAGACAUUUAAAUGUGAAGAAUUAAGUUAUCACAGGAACUUCAAGUCCUAUGACAACCUUCAUAUUUUUGCCUUUUAGCUUUCAUGCACAAAGAAUUACAACAUGCCUAACUGAGGUAAUAAUGCUCAUCAUUCUAGCAGUAGGCUCACUAGUUUCCCUGAGUUCCUGAAGGACACCUACCAUAAUACUCACAUGCAGUUUCAUUAAUUUACUCUCAGACAAUACACCUGUCCUCUAACCCUCAUCCCUACUCUUUGCAACCUCCUAACCCCACAAUAUACUAACAUUCCUUUGAGCUACAAUUUCCUUGUCCAUUCUCAUCAUAUACCAAAAUCAUCUGAGGACAUUCUCACACCAUAGCUGAACAUUAAUCUCAUAAAUUCCAGCCCAUCUCUUUAUAUUCCACAGAUUUUUCUUAGCAUGGCUGCAUAUAUUCAUAUAUACUGCAAAUAGUUAUGAUGAUGGAGUCAGUAUCAUAUCAUAAAAUAUAUAAAAAAAGUUCCAUAUUAAUGAAAAGUUGAGAAUGCCACUGAAACUAAUUUCAUCAAAACUUAACAAGCAGUUUAACUUCACAGAAACAGCUAAGGUUAACCUUAUGGAAAUAAUAUACUGAAAUGCAGAUUGUGAUGUAAAUAUAGAAAACUUGUUUUAAUUGUUAUUUAGACUUGAUCAGUUCACAUCUGACUAAUUCUGUUCCACUGACAAGAUUGGAAAGUCAUGUGCAACAGCGCUCAUCCAGUUUGCCACAACAGAUUUGCUGAUGCUGUAACUGAUUCUAAUUUUCUACACUUGAAGACACUGACAGUAUGUAAUGUUUUGUAACUUAUUUGACAGUGUGACAAUGUUGCUGAAAAUGUAAUGAUGUCUAAGACAGUGUAGGAUACCUUGUGAUAGUGUGGAAAUAUGACGGCAUGAAAUUGCUUAUAUGACAAAGUGGUUGUGAAAUGACUGCAUGAAUGUGUACAUAUUUUAUCCCAUGGUGGUGAUUACAAGGUGAAUGUUAGUGAUGAGUAUUGAUAUUGCUAUCAGAAUCAUUUCAAUAAUAAGUAUCAGUAUUCAUAUCAGUAUUGGGAAGCUAUCAGAGUAUGGGUAUCAGCUGAAUAAUGUGCCUUUUUAUUGGUGUCAGGAAAAUAUAUUGAUAUCAGCAUAGCCCUACUUCUGUUAGUUGAUACUUUGAAGAAUCCUAGGUUUGAUGACUGAAUAAAUCUAUUCCAGACAUCCUUC